CUAUGAUUGACAGCGGCGCGAGCCAAUAGCGAUAAGCAGGAGGAGGGGCAGCACAUGGCUCGGAGGCCGCGUGGGCGAACGCGCUUUAUUGAUGUGGGGGAGGGGCUGGGGGGGGUCCCCAAACUGAGGGGGAGGCUCAGGAUCGACCCCCCCAAAACCUGAGCAGGGGUUUGAGCGUCCUCACGGCCACAAUCCUGGGGUUUGUCCCCACAUCCUCCUUAGGUGUCCCCCAAAUCCUCCUUAGGUGUCCCCCAAAUCCUUGGGUGUCCCCCAAAUCCUUGGGUGUCCCCCAAUUCCUUGGUGUCCCCAAAUCCUCUUUGAGUGUCCCCAAGUCCUUGGGUGUCCUCAAAUCCUUGAGUGUCCCCAAAUCCUUAGGGGUACCCAAAUCCUUGGUGUCCCCAAAUCCUUGGGUGUCCCCAUUUCCUUGGGUGUCCCCAAAUCCCCUCAGGUGUCCCCAAAUCCUUGGGUGUCCCCAAGUCCUUGGGUGUCCCCAAAUCCCCUCAGGUGUCCCCAAAUCCUUGGGUGUCCCCAAAUCCUUGGUGUCCCCACUUUUGGAGGGGGGUUGUGUCCACUCAGGGGGGGUUCGUGUCCCCUCAGGACCCUCAGGACAAAAUGUCCCCACAGUGUCCCCCAAAUCCUUGGGUGUCCCCAUUUCAUUGGUGUCCCCAAAUCCCCUCAUGUGUCCUCAAAUCCCUGGUGUCCCCACUUUUGGGGGGUUGUGUCCCCUCAGGAGAUUUGUGUCCCCUCAGCACAAAAUGUCCCCACACAGCGUCCCCAUCAUUGUCCCCGCAGCGUUGGAGUGUCCCCGUUGAUCCUCGCAGCGUCCUCUCCGUCACCUCUCCCACCCCAGAUUUCUGGGGUUCCCCUGAAGAAUUUUUGGGGUUCCCCUGAAGAAUUUUGGGGUUCCCGGGUUUUGGGGCUCAGGGCUGCAUCCUCAGGGCCCCGUCCAGCCUCACCACCUCGCCGUUGACCAUGGGGUUCUCGGCCAGGGCCUGCACCAGGUGCGCGAACUCGGCGGGGUCCCCGAGGCGGGACGGGAACGGCACCUGCUGGCCCAGGAAGCGCCGAACCUUCUCUGGGAGCCCGGCCAGGAGAGGGGUGGAGAACAGCCCUGGGA
rnacentral:lncRNA from 1 species